UGGCUCAAUUGGUAGAGCAGUGGACUCUUAAUCCAUUGGUUCGGGGUUCGAGUCCCUG
rnacentral:tRNA from 1 species